UACGUAGGGUGCGAGCGUUGUCCGGAAUUAUUGGGCGUAAAGAGCUUGUAGGCGGUCUGUCGCGUCUGCUGUGAAAAUCCGGGGCUCAACCCCGGACUUGCAGUGGGUACGGGCAGACUAGAGUGUGGUAGGGGGAGACUGGAACUCCUGGUGUAGCGGUGGAAUGCGCAGAUAUCAGGAGGAACACCGAUGGCGAAGGCAGGUCUCUGGGACGGUACUGACGCUGAGACGCGAAAGCGUGGGGAGCGAAACAGG
rnacentral:rRNA from 1 species